rnacentral:rRNA from 1 species
AUUGAAACGCUGGCGGCAGGCCUUACACAUGCAAGUCGAGCGGUAGAGAGAAGCUGCUUCUCUUGAGAGCGGCGGACGGGUGAGUAAGCCCUAGGAAUCUGCCUGGUAGUGGGGGAUAACGUUCGGAAACGGACGCUAAUACCGCAUACGUCCUACGGGAGAAAGCAGGGGACCUUCGGGCCUUGCGCUAUCAGAUGAGCCUAGGUCGGAUUAGCUAGUUGGUGAGGUAAUGGCUCACCAAGGCGACGAUCCGUAACUGGUCUGAGAGGAUGAUCAGUCACACUGGAACUGAGACACGGUCCAGACUCCUACGGGAGGCAGCAGUGGGGAAUAUUGGACAAUGGGCGAAAGCCUGAUCCAGCCAUGCCGCGUGUGUGAAGAAGGUCUUCGGAUUGUAAAGCACUUUAAGUUGGGAGGAAGGGUUGUAGAUUAAUACUCUGCAAUUUUGACGUUACCGACAGAAUAAGCACCGGCUAACUCUGUGCCAGCAGCCGCGGUAAUACAGAGGGUGCAAGCGUUAAUCGGAAUUACUGGGCGUAAAGCGCGCGUAGGUGGUUUGUUAAGUUGGAUGUGAAAUCCCCGGGCUCAACCUGGGAACUGCAUUCAAAACUGACUGACUAGAGUAUGGUAGAGGGUGGUGGAAUUUCCUGUGUAGCGGUGAAAUGCGUAGAUAUAGGAAGGAACACCAGUGGCGAAGGCGACCACCUGGACUAAUACUGACACUGAGGUGCGAAAGCGUGGGGAGCAAACAGG